UACGAAGGUGGCGAGCGUUGUUCGGAUUUACUGGGCGUACAGGGUGCGUAGGCGGUUGGAUAAGCCCUCCGUGAAAUCUCCAGGCUUAACCUGGAAAGUGCAGAGGGGACUGUUCAGCUAGAGGAUGGGAGAGGAGCGCGGAAUUCCCGGUGUAGCGGUGAAAUGCGUAGAUAUCAGGAGGAACACCUGCGGUGUAGACGGCUUACUGGACCAUCACUGACGCUGAGGCACGAAAGCGUGGGUAGCAAACAGG
rnacentral:rRNA from 1 species